UGGCCUUUGGCAAUUCAGUAAACAUUUUAGCAAUUUCUUCUUUCCUGCCUGCUGAAGACUGACUUCCUCCUGCUGCCAAAGAUCCUCUAAACUAACUACAAGCUCCUCCACAUUAUCAGGACAAACACAAUUCUAACUCUCAAAAGUUCUAGAGUCUGGACGUCUGAGAUCAGGGUGCCAGCACUGUCGAGGUCACAGACUGCAGACCUCCUUGUAUCUUCAAAUGGAGGAAAGAGGACAAGAGAGCUCCUGUGGUCCCUUUUAUCAAGAUGAAUGCACAAGGAAAAUGUUGUACAUUUGCACAUUGGAGUACACUUCAGCCAUAAAAAGAAUGAGAUGCUGUCAUUUGCAACAACAGUUGAAGCCUAGUCAAGAAGAGGGCUCAGAGAAGCUUGACUAAAGUUUCAUGAAGAGAGUCUCUGUCAGUGGUGGGUCUUUGAUUCUCAAGGAAGCUGUCAGAAGCUUCAUCUAACUUCUCUUCCACUCUACUUUCUUCUGGGGAAGAAGUGACCCAACAAUUUGAUCUAAUAUUUGCCUGAUAAUAUUGAACAUCCUUGCAUCCAUUAAAGUUUACUGUUCUAAGACUUACUUUAACCAAGGUCAACAGCAAUCUGAGACACACUCUUCUCAUGGCAGAUUAUGGGACCAUAAAGCAGGAGAAGAGAAAGGAAGCUGCAGUCCCUGUAUAACUCCUAAAUUUUUAAUUUGGAGUUCCUCUUCUUCGGUGCAACAAUCUUUCUGCAUGCACAGAUCCAUGUGGCACUCAUCUCAUCAUUCUGAGGGAAGAAAGAUGCAUAGGGAAUGUUGCAUGUGGUUAUUUCUGUAAGUAUAGUAAUCAUAGUGUGCCUUUAAUUCUGAAAUCUUAUGUUUGCUUUCAGGAUAAAAUAAAUAAGUAAAAAUAUCAGAAACUUGUCAAUCUUAAGACAUCGGCUGGCCCCUCACUACACUUCAUUGUCCUGAGAUGGCAGAGGAGACAGAACACCAAACCUAGCUCUAGCUUUUGAGACUUUAUUUUCAGCAGUUUACAUUGAUUGGUAACUGGUGUUUUGCCAG
rnacentral:lncRNA from 1 species